CAUAAUCGACGCAAUAUUUUCACCUACCUCCGGAUCUUCCCAAUUGAGUUCCUUCGGUUUUUCAUUGGGAAGUACGUUUCGGUUCCUUCCCAUGAGCUCGUCGAGGAGAGCAGCAGCAGCAGCAGCAGCCAUAUUCCGAAAAUCUUCGUGAUCGAAUGUCGUUUAUCAGGACCAACUCCGGAACGUACGAACAAUGAAUGCAAGGCAAAAACGUGUCACUCGUGGUUCAAGUGAAACGAACAAUAAACGAAGAGAUUGUGUAAAUCUAGUCAAACUCGACACGGAUCCACACGGACAUCGAGAGACCAAAACGAACUGCCGACACACACGUUCUAACCCCGAAGUUUUUCACUCGGAAGGCAAUAGUGAUGCAAACAAUAUGGCGACAGCUUACACAUCAAACAUGCGUGAGAACAAACAAUGCAAAUUCCAGAUCUGCGGCUGUUCGAUUCGACGAAAAAGGUAUCUCAAACAAACUACGGUUUCCUCGGUAUUCCUCUCAAUUGUUUCGUAAAAUUGUUUCACAGGUUGAUAAUCUUUAAGGAAAGAAAAGAAUACAACAAGAAUCUCAUUGCGACGUUCUUGCAACUGCACUUACCGUGUGAUUCAAAACGCUGCAUCAAUUGCUUUUUUUAUUAAUUAUAUACAUACGUACACAUGUCUAGAGUCGAUAUUAUUUCUCGAUGAAAAUAGAAAAAUCAUUUAAUUUGUUUAAAUCACAGGUUUUCCGUAGUUGGAUAGCGGAAUAUUCAGCGGAAACUUUUAGACGGUGAUUUGACUGUUUCCCCGCAUACGGGCGCCAUCUGUUUGAAUUUCUCGUCGAAUUUGAAUUGGCGAUAAUGUUGCUUGGUUCACACAUUUAAUUCUAAUUAUCCUUACGAGUCGAUUACAUGAUCACCGACAGCUUCGCGAUCGCAUUCAUAAAACAGUAAGCGCUGUUUAAAAUAACGCAAUAACAAUUUAUUGGUCAUCAUCACUGUUAUGCUAAUAUCGAUUACACGUUACAUGUUAGAGCGUGCCCGCUUGUAAUAUCAUUAAAAUUAUCACUGAUCAUUUGCGCAGAUAUUCGAUAAUUAUCGGAUGAUCUUCUAAAUAGACACGGGCCCCUUAAAAGAAAAACACCACAACAAGCUGGUAAAUAUAACUUAAUGCAUCAAUAUUAAUCGAUGUUUUCGAUCACAAUCUCGAUUCGAUCUCGAUCUAAGGGAUUAAUCGGUGUACUACGGAAUGAUGAAUGAGAGUGUGGAAUAAUUUACGUUCUACGAUUAAUUUAUACCACGUACACAGCUACGAUCCGCUCGAAUAAAUAUAUAGCAAUUACUUUCCCUUACGUAUUCAAUUUCGACGCGAUAAUCACGAUGAGAUUCCAGCAAACGUAAUCAAUAGACUGCGGACUUUUAUGCGAUUCACAGUGUAGACGAGCCUUCGAGCAAUUUACAAAAUAUUUCAUGAUAUUUCAUGUAACAUCGCAUUUCGAAUUUAUUGGGAACGUUCGAUUCUCUAUGAUAAUGCAGGUUUGUGCACGAACUUCCACAGUCUAUUAAUGACUUAAACACGACGGUGAGUGUGGACGAUGAAUGAUAAUUAUUUCAAUUGAUCCUGCCGAUCCUGUUUACUCGUAUUCCUCGUCAUCAGGUCGCACCUGAGGGUAUCUUCUCACUGGCUGUGACUGAUGCUGUGGCUGCGGGCGUCUCUGCUGAAGAGGAAUGUUCACUUCCUCAGGGCUGCGGAACACCUGGUUCAAUGGCAGACGGAAUUGUGGGUGUCCUGCGGACUGCGGACGAGCCGACGGUGGGAUGCUGUUCAAUGCUGGCUGUGAGCUUGAGUAGAUCUGCACAAUAAUAAUGUUCGUUAAUCUUACCAUCAGCUGUCACAGAUGGAAACAGGAGAAAUGAAAUAAUAAUGAAUCGAUCACACUUAUGGAAAAUGUAUCAGAAAGGAGUAUGUAAUCGUGAGAGAGAAGUAUCAUUAUAUGAGAAACUGUAGACGUGACAGAAUAAUCGUGGCACUUGAAAACGAAUUUGUACAUGCGAAUGAAUGUUUUACCGGCUGCGGUGGACGACGAAUGGGAGCUGCUGGCGUGAUUUGAUAGUCACCAGCCUCGCGCUCGUCGGCAUGAAUGUCAGCGGGGAAAUACCUCUCGCUGUAUCUUAGGGUUACAUUCGGCUUCGUCUCAACCUCUUGCUGAUUCAGUGGUUUGUACAGAUACUCGUUGACGAAGUGAUACUGCGAACUCUUCUUACAGCUUAUGUCACCGCUUGGCGGCAUACAGAUCAAGUGCACCUGUAAAACAAAAAGAACAUCGUGAGGCUCAUGACGAUCUCAAAAGUGUUUCACCGUCAGCGGACUUCAAGAAUUAAGUUUAAUUCAGUUAAAUUCUUUGGACAAGCGCAAGGUUAAUUCAUAAAAAUUUCCAAGCAUUUUGGAUAUUUGAAACAUCAGAAAGAGGUAACAGGUGUUUCCAAUCGCAAAGGAUUCGAUCGCGUUCUAGAAGUUAGAAGCCGAGACUUUCGUUCGUUAUCUCUAAGCGUGAUUUUAUUAGAAAUUUGCAGGAGACUUUCCUCCGCAGAUUUCGUUCAUCUAGAGACCGUAUUUGAAUUUGUUUUAACUUUUUCAGUUGACCUGCGAUGCCUGGAGACUCGCGAACCAUUAAUCGCCGGUAGAUAGAAGCCAUUCGGAGUCGAUUGCCUCGAGACACGCCGAGAGAAAGGGGUUUCCACGGUGCCUCUAUUUUCAUUUUUCCCGCAGCAAGAAAAUGGGCGUGGACUGAUUAUCCCGGAAACGCGUAACUAUAGCCCGGUAUCAGGAAACCGAUCGCGCGAUUUAUGAUUGGCCUCAGUUGCUCGCUCGCUCGGUACACGAAACAGGAAACGGCCCGGUGAAAACGUACGUCGGAGCGUGCACGGGAGGUGAAAUUUCCUUAUCAAUGGUAUCCGAGGCUGGCUAAUUGUACGGGUAUAACGCGACGUUUAUUUUCACGGGCGCUUUCACCUGACCGGGGUGGUUGGUUCAAGGGAAAAGGAUAGCGUUCGUGGGAUCGUUGAAACGGCCGCUCAUAAACUCGCCUUGGCGGUCGUUGAGAUUCAGGAGUCGAAGAUGCAGAGGGCCGCUCACCUGAUGGAACGUGAAUCCCUCGGGACAAAUCCAGGAGUGCUUCGCGUUGUCCUGGCAGUAGUGGAAGACCUCGCAGUUGAGAUCCUCGUCAGCGUAAUAGCCGGUCUGCUUGUUCACGCAAUCGAAUUUGCUCUGGGGCAGCAGGAGGGUCAGACGAUCGGGCUCCUCCUUUUCUUCGAGUUCCUCAGCCUCGGCCUUCAACCGUGGAACAACGAAGUUAAAUAACACCGCGUUGGAAGUCAGUGUCGCCGCCGAGCAGAAUAGAAAGGCUCGCCCCGUAAACCCCGUCGUUUCCCAAUUCUGUUCGCCGAAAGGAUAACUGGACCGGGGAAAUUGGCUCGGCCGCAAACGAUCGUUACUUAAUUCCCCGAUGAUCGUUCCGGGGGGCGACACACACAAUCGCUCGGAAUCGACGCGAUAAAAGAAGCCCGGGCCGAUUCCCGCGAAACCAUAAUGUCUGGCCAUUGCGCAAGGCAACGGCAUUGUGCGAAACCGCGAACAAUGGAUGUUUCUUCGAUUGCUUAUGAAAAUUACGUAACCGCUCGAGAGAUUCGGUGAAAGGGAUUUCCCUCGUUGCCGUAUUUAUCACCGGCCGCGAGACAAUAAACGGCGUGAAAAUGAUCGUUCAGGCUACCUGAGGAUUCUGUCCACCGCGUAGAACGGUCCGCGGCGGUCCGUUCACUCUGAUGGCACCCUGGUCCAGCGACGGCUUGCGGUACAGCUGGACAAAAAAGGAUCAGAUCCAUGAUUAGUCAAGGAAUUCAGUUUCUUUUACAUACGUACGCGCGCGUGUACGUAUCCGUCUAUGUACGCGUGUACGUCUGUAUGUAUGUAUAUGGAACCAUGGACGAAGGUUCGCGCGCCUGUUACGCAGCUGCAGGGAAUGAACUCGCUUGUCAGACAGUAGUUCGAGGCAACCGGUUAUUUUUACAUCGGAAAGCGAGAAUGUUCCAGGCGAAAGGGAAAAGGAAUUCGCCGCUAUACCGCGGCUGUUUAUGUAAAUCGACGGUUCUGGGGACCGACCGACGAAAUCGGCGCUCGGCCAGCCAAUUAUCGUACCGAUCGACGUUUCCGCAGGAUCAGGAAGAGUUGCGCGCGACCGGCAGAACUUUGAUUUAUGCGAAUCAUGCCGUUUCUUCAACGAAACUGCUGUUUCCUCGUUGACUCUGGACACGGGGUUAGACAACGAAGUAUAAUAAUUUCACCAUAUUGCAACGUUAGAUGAAAAGAUACGCCGGAUUCGAAGAUGCCUUCGAUAGGGUGUUCCGAAGUGUUCAUCCAACGUCAACUUAAAAAGCGUUAAAA